UACGGAGGGUGCAAGCGUUAUCCGGAUUCACUGGGUUUAAAGGGUGCGUAGGUGGGUUGGUAAGUCAGUGGUGAAAUCCCCGAGCUUAACUUGGGAACUGCCAUUGAUACUAUCAGUCUUGAAUACCGUGGAGGUUAGCGGAAUAUGUCACGUAGCGGUGAAAUGCUUAGAUAUGACAUAGAACACCAAUUGCGAAGGCAGCUGGCUACACGAAUAUUGACACUGAGGCACGAAAGCGUGGGGAUCAAACAGG
rnacentral:rRNA from 1 species